UACGGGGGGGGCAAGCGUUGUUCGGAAUUACUGGGCGUAAAGGGCUCGUAGGCGGCCAAUUAAGUCCGACGUGAAAUCCCCAGGCUUAACCUGGGAACUGCGUCGGAUACUGGAUGGCUUGAAUUCGGGAGAGGGAUGCAGAAUUCCAGGUGUAGCGGUGAAAUGCGUUGAUAUCGGUGGGAACGCCAGUGGCGAAAGCGGCAAACGUGACCCUUCCUGACGCUGAUGCGCGAAAGCUAGGGGAGCGAACGGG
rnacentral:rRNA from 1 species